CUUCGGCUACUCGACAUUGAAGAGCCGAUCACUGCUAUUUACGUGAAAGGCACGCACAUCAGGCAUUUGAAGUAACCCUGCUUAAAGAGACGGGUGAGAGACCAAACUCUGAGAGGGUGAGGCAACAGCAAAUAGUGAGGAAGGAAUGGAGAAGGGAGUACCCAGAGUGGGGGUGGCGGUUUUCUUGUUGAGUGGGAAAGCUGUUCUCUUGGGUCGGCGCCGCUCAUCCAUCGGCGACUCCACUUUUGCUCUCCCUGGUGGCCACCUCGAGUUUGGAGAGAGCUUUGAAGAAUGCGCAGCCAGAGAGUUGAAAGAGGAAACUGGAUUGGACAUUGAUAAAGUAGAGUACUUAACUGUCACAAACACCCUGUUUCUUGAGGAACCAAAACCAUCCCAUUAUGUUACUAUCUUCAUGCGUGCAUUCUUAACAGAUCCUAACCAAGCGCCCCAAAAUCUUGAGCCACAAAAGUGUGAUGGUUGGGAUUGGUAUGACUGGGAUAAUCUCCCUAAACCACUGUUUUGGCCUCUAGAGAAGAUGGUGCAAGAGGGCUAUAAUCCUUUUCCAAUUGGCUAGAACUAAUUCAUAGGGAUCCUUCUAUGUUCUACUUGCUGUUUGUCCAGUAUGCGAAGAUUAUGUAUGCAUGUGAAACGUCUAGGCAGUGAAAACAUAAGUCGGGGCCUUCAGUCUUAUUAUCAAUUUGGUUAAUGUCGAUAGAACAAGAAUGAAGGCUAGCGAGGGAGCAUCUAGUUCAUGUCAUCAUUCUGCCCAUCUACUCAUACAUUCAUCUAACGAGAUCCAUUGGACGUCCAUCAAUGCCUUUUCCAUGAUUAUUUUGCUUAAAUACCAAUAUAUCCUCCCAAUAUUUUUAUGAAGAGGUUUCGAAUUGAUCAUGAUCUAUUUUAACGCAUCCAUUAUGCAGAGAAGCAUAUGAUUAUUUUGUCCAAAAAAUAUAUUCAAGUGGAAGGCUCAAAUUGUCUUCCUUUCAGAACAUGACUAUAGCAAUUAGGAUGGUCACAUAUGGAGUAAUGACAGAUCUUAAUGAAGAAUAUUUGAGAAUUGGAGAAAGCAUUGCACAGUUGAGUAUGAAAAAAAUUAGACGAUCGUGACAAUUUUUUUUUUUUUUAUGAGUACUUGAGGUCUCUAAACAGUAGCAAUAUAGCACGAUUACUAGAUGUUGGACAACGAUGUGGAUUUAUAGAAGUAUUGGGAAUCAUUGAUUACAUGCAUUGGAAAUGUAAGAACUAUCCUAAUGCUUGGAAAUAUACAUACUCUGGUCAUAUAAAUCAACCAACUAUUAUUUUUGUA